GGCCAGAGCGGGGACGCGUCCCCAUGGCUGGGGUGGGAAGGGGUCAGGGGCGCCUGGGGUUGAGGCAUCUAUGGUGAGUGGAAGGAGAAAGGGCCGUUUCCGCCUCCCUCCGGGCCAGCCGCAGGAGAGUGGGGAGGGAAUUAGCGGGAUAGCUGCUGGGGACGGGGUAGAAGUGGAGUCCGUCUCCCUCGGACAGCAGCCGGAGAGGUGGAUAUUAGCAGGUCCCUUGCUGGGAAGGAGUUAGGAGUAGAGUCCCUCCUCCCCACCAGGAAGGAGUAGACGGUGAGUAAAUCAGUGGUGGGCUUUCUUGGAGGGGGAAGGGUAGAUGUGCAUCCUGUGUAAGGGAGGAGCUCAUGGCAAUGUAAUGAACACUUCUGGUAUCUCCUAUCCACCGUAAUUCCCCUUCCUAAUCUAUUUCCCCACCCCCGCCCCCAACAAGCUGUUAUCUCUGCCCAGAGGACUUGAUACAGUGUCACAGUAAGUGUAACGCCAGGCUGUGUGUUCAUGUUUAGUACCUACCUGCCAAAGUUUACAGAGAAGUUACUGGUUAUGAUACUAUUCAGUGUUUUCAUCGAUGAGUUGACUAAUAGGGCAGAGAGUAUGCUUACAAAAUGUGCAUGUGACACCAGGCUUGCAGGGGUUGCAAACAAAUUGGAGACUUUUUUCUGAAAUCAACAAGAUGAAUAUCAGUGAAGAGAAACCACAUGAAAAUUGCUGAGGGUCUCGGCAGACCACUUAAUGAGCUUUCCAAAUGUUAUUUGUACCAUUAGCUAACUAUUGUAAAGCACUUUGGAUAAAAGUGCUAUAUAAAAAACCAUAAUGAACUUUUUUUUGUUCUACAAAUAAAAGCACACAACUCAUAUUUUAA